AGAGAGAGAAAUUUGGUACGAGACAAUGAUCGAGCAGAGCGAUUGAUUGACCCAAGCUUCCUCAAAAGUCGUUCGCUCGCUUCCCUCUCGCUCGAGCCCAUGCAAGUCGGAGCGACGCCGGAAUUCGCACUCCCGAGCUCGAGAUCUCCGCCGUAGGCCGCCGCCGCCGUCGAGAAUCGCCGAUUGCCUCCCAUAUUCUUGAUAUGAGGAUGGCUAAGGAAGAAACUUCAUGUAGUGCUGUCCAAGCAAUUGAUUUGCUUUCAGCAGUUAAGGAGCUGCAUGUGCUUAACUCGCAGGAGCUCAAUAAACUAUUGAGAGACUCUGACAAUUUUGUAAUUGACUGCUUAACCGUUAAAGGAUCAUCAAUAAAGGUUGAUAUGGAAAAACUUGCAGGCUUUCUCCCCUUGCACCUUAUUGCUGUGCUCAUGUCAGCUGAAAGAGAUGAAGCUAUGUUCAGAUACCUAUUAUCUGGCGUACGACUCUUGCAUUCCUUGUGUGAAGUGGCACCCCGCCAUGCUAAACUGGAACAGAUUUUGCUGGACGAUGUUAAAGUGUCAGAACAGAUGCUUGAUCUGGUCAUUUAUUUGCUUAUCGUCCUCGGUGGAUAUAAUAAGCAGGGAAACAAUGAUCCAAGUCCUCUGCCCCUCCUGUAUUCAGCAUUAGUAGCGUGCAGUCUGCAUCUCUUAACAGGAUUUAUAUCUUCACAGUGGCAAGACCUUGUUCACGUAUUGCUUGCACACCCUAAGAUUGACGUAUUUAUGGAUGUAGCCUUUCGAGCAGUUUGUAUGAUGACUAGAUCUCUCAGGACCAAGCUGUCACCUCAUAGUAAUGAUUUUUGUGCAAAUUUGAAUCUGACAGCAGAGCAAAUGGUUAACUACCUUUGCCAGCAGUGUGAGGCAUCUCUGCAGUUUCUUCAUUCAUUAUGCCAACAGAAGACAUUUCGGGAGCGCGUGCUCAGGAAUAAGGAACUGUGUGGAAGAGGUGGUGUUCUUCUUCUGGCUCAAACUAUUUUCAAGCUGGAGAUCACUCCAUCUUUGAAACAGUCCGCCGCUGUUGUAGCUGCAAUAUCCAGGCUUAAAGCUAAAAUGUUAUCAAUUCUGUUACAUCUUUGUGAAGCUGAAAGUAUUUCUUACCUGGACGAAGUUGCCAGUUGUCCGCAGAGCUUGGAUCUUGCAAAAUUCGUUGUAUUGGAGGUUCUCAACUUAUUGAAGACUGCACUUGGCAGAAAUUCUGAAUCUUCCGCCGCACAUUCUGACAGAAAAUAUCCAUCGGGCCUGUUGCAACUCAAUGCAAUGCGCUUAGCUGAUAUCUUUUCCGAUGACUCGAACUUUCGAACUUAUAUCACAACAUACUUUACCGAAGUUCUCUCUGCAAUAUUUUCCCUCUCUCAUGGUGAUUUUUUAUCCACUUGGUGUUGUUCUGAUCUCCAAGUAAGGGAAGAGGAUGCAUCCCUGGAAUAUGAUUUACAUGCAGCUACAGGAUGGGUUUUGGAUGCCUUUUCACCAUCAAACACUCCGAACAAGUUGAAUAUAGAAUAUGCAUUCAUCCCUAAUAAUAUUCCUCGAUCUUCGUAUGCCCAUCAGAGGACAUCACUUUUUGUCAAAAUAAUUGCAAACCUCCAUUGCUUUAUUCCCAACAUCUGUGAAGAGCAAGAGAGGAAUCUCUUCCUUCACAAGUUUCUAGAGUGCUUGAAGGUGGACAUGGACUCGGGUAAACCAUCGCCUGAAUUUUCUUAUACUUCCGAUUCUCAAAGAGCUGACACUGUCUUCAGAAAUCUGCGUUCAUUGUUAAGUCAUGCAGAGUCCUUAAUUCCGACCUUCUUGAACGAGGAGGAUGUACAAUUAUUGAGAGUAUUCUUUAACCAGUUACAACCAUUGAUCACACCCAGCGUGAAUGAAGAGAACGGAGUUCAAGAAAGCAAACUGGAUGGGUCCAGAUCUUGGGAUAAGUUUGCUCAAAUCAAUAUGAGUGACAAAUAUCAGGAAGCUCAGAGUGUGGGGAGACGCUUAUAUCCUAUACCCAGAAAAGAUCCCCCUAAUCUUAAUGGUAGAAGCGGUAACCUGAGAGAGGGCAUGUCUGAAAACUCCACUCUCACCGACUUGGACCGGCUACAUGUCAGAAGCAAGCAUGAUGAGCGUAGCAAUUUUUUGAGGCGAGGCAGGGGGGAACAUGGUAAAUUUGGCGGGACUGCCUCUAGAAUUUCAAGAGAAGCUGAUGGGGAUGUCCAGACUGUGGAAACAAGUGGUUCGGAUACAAGCUCCAUGAAAGGAAGAAACUCUGCAGAUCCCACAGAGAAUGGUGAUCUUGCGAAGCUGGGCAAGCAGGUGUCCGAAAGUGGGUCUGCAGCAGGUCAAGAGGAUGAGAAGGUUGAAACCCAUCAUAGUGAAGAAAAGCAGCGAAGAAAACGCAAACGCACUAUCAUGAAUGAGAAACAGAUGAAACUCAUGGAGAGGGCCCUCUUGGAUGAACCAGAAAUGCAGCGAAAUGCCGCUUCGAUUCAAUCAUGGGCUGAUAGAUUGAGUUUUUAUGGUUCUGAAGUUACAUCUUCACAGCUAAAGAAUUGGCUGAACAAUCGGAAAGCUAGGCUGGCGCGUGCUGCUAAAGAUAUCCGAGCCCAGCCUGAAGUUGACGAUUCUUUGCCCGAUAAGCAGGCUGAACAGGGCCAAGCGUUGCAGCCUGACUCACCGGAGAGCCCAGGGAACGAAGUUCCAUCAACUUCGAAAGGUAUUACUUGGGGCGCAUCAAGAAACAGUGCGGAAAAAUCUGGGGCGGCUCUAUCAGAAUCUGUCAAUCCUAGUCCAGCUGAAUUAGCUCUUGAGCCUGGCCAACACGUUGCCAUCAUGGAUGCGAGAGGAGAGGAAAUCGGUGAAGGGACGGUGCAUCAGGUUUAUGGGAAGUGGAAUGGGAGCAUCUUGGAAGAAUCGAAAAUGUGCGUCGUGAACAUUACCGAGCUCAAGGUUCAGAAAUGGUCCCAACUUCCAUACCCGUCUGAAACCACGGGCAGCUCAUUCGAGGAGGCGGAGGCCAAGAUUGGCACGAUGAGAGUGUUGUGGGAUUUGAAUAAAAUCUCCCCAGUUCGACCUUAGUGAAUUUUGUGACGGUCGACAAGAAAUUCCGGUCGUGAAUUGCUUUAAAGAUAGCGAGUAGAGUCAAGCAACAAGCUCCGGCUAGCUCACUUGACUUGAGCUCCUUCUUUUGACUUAUGGAAACUCUAGGAGAAGUGAGAGUUUGAUCGAAUUCCAAAAGCAGCUCGGCUCUGGUGUAGAAUUUAGAACUAAGUAAACAAGGUGGGAAGGGGCGGCAUCCUCCUUGGGCGGCGGUGGCGUACCCAUUGAAAUUACACGCUUACGGUCGCAAUGUUCGGUUUGAGCCUCUUUGCGCGUUACUCAGAGUUCCAUUGAAUCCGAGACAAAGAAGAGAUCGGGAGAUUCGAACUUGUGAUCGGGAGGUCAUAGCUUCCGAAAUUGUUUAUUUUAAUCUAUUUGGUUUUCGUAAUCGAAAGGAUCCCAAUAUUAAAUUCGAACCCGUCAGUUUCUUUGGACCGUCGAAA